rnacentral:rRNA from 1 species
UGGUUAGUACUUGGAUGGGAGACCGCCUGGGAAUACCAGGUGCUGUAAGCCUUUUC